rnacentral:rRNA from 1 species
UUAAGUCUUGACGAGUAAGAGGGUCGCGGCGGUGAGCGCAGAAGGGUCAGGGCGAGAGCCUGCCUGGAGCCGCCGUCGGUGCAGAUCUUGGUGGUAGUAGCAAAUACUCUAGCGAGGGCCUGGAGGACUGACGUGGAGAAGGGUUUCUUGUGAACAGCCGUUGCACAAGAGUCAGUCGACCCUGAGCCCUAGGAGAAAUCCAAUGUCGAUGGGUAGCUUGACAAAAAGCAUAUGUGAUAAAAUCACAUGUUGUAAAUUGAACAGCUCCUGUCGGGCAAAAGGGAAUCCGGUUCCUAUUCCGGAACCCGGCUGCGUAACCGCCACUUUGCGAGCACUUGCUUGCGAGCGCUCGUCGGGGUAACCCAAACUGGCCUGGAGACGCCGGCGGGGGGUCUGGAAAGAGUUUUCUUUUCUUUAUAAGCGUUCGAGUACCCUGGAAUCCUAUAGCAGGGAGAUAGGGUUUGGAACGCGAAGAGCACCGCAGUUGCGGCGGUGUCCGGACCUUCCCCCCGGACCUUGAAAAUCCAGGUGAGGGCCACGCGGAAGUCGCGCCGG